rnacentral:lncRNA from 1 species
AGUGUCAAACCUUCUAGAUUGGUUGCUCCUCAAAAGAAGUAUCCAAUGAAGGUGCAUCCGAGCUUGGAUGGCAAUGAUAAAAAUAAACAAGUGAAUAAUGCUAAGGUACAUGGUUACCUCCGGUUAGAAUUUUAGAAUGCAUUAAGAACUUUACUCUUUUUGGUAAUUGAAUAUUGUUCUUUUUGCAACAUAAUUGAAUGAAUGUUUCAUCUAGG